ACGCUCGACACCUACGGGAGGGCAGCAGUGGGGAAUAUUGGGCAAUGGGCGCAAGCCUGACCCAGCAACGCCGCGUGAAGGAAGAAGGCCCUCGGGUUGUAAACUUCUUUUGUCAGGGACGAAGCAAGUGACGGUACCUGACGAAUAAGCCACGGCUAACUACGUGCCAGCAGCCGUGGUAAUCUGAGCGGGCUGGCAAGGC
rnacentral:rRNA from 1 species